rnacentral:rRNA from 1 species
UGAUGACGAGACGCUAAGGCGUUGAAGCAGUGUAUGUCAGACUUCCAAGAAAAGCUCGCAAUGUCACAAAUUAAAAAUGCCUGUACCAUAACCGACACAGGUGGGUAGGUAGAGUAUACUAAGGGGCGCGAGAUAACUCUCUCUAAGGAACUCGGCAAAAUGACUCCGUAACUUCGGGAGAAGGAGUGCCUUAUUUAUAAGGUUGCAAUAACAAGAUCCAAGCAACUGUUUAUCAAAAACACAGGUCUCCGCUAAGUCGUAAGACGAUGUAUGGGGGCUGACGCCUGCCCAGUGCCAGAAGGUUAAAGAAGUUGGUUAGUGUAUGCGAAGCUGAUGACUGAAGCCCUGGUGAACGGCGGCCGUAACGAUAACGGUCCUAAGGUAGCGAAAUUCCUUGUCGGGUAAGUUCCGACCCGCACGAAAGGCGUAAUGAUUUGGAUACUGUCUCGGAGAGAGGCUCGGUGAAAUAGACUUGUCUGUGAAGAUGCGGACUACCUGCACCAGGACAGAAAGACCCUAUGAAGCUUUACUGUAACUUGAAAUUGGAAUUGGACUUUGCUUGCGCAGUAUAGGUGGGAAGCGUUGAAAAUAUUCUUGCGGGAGUAUUGGAGCUAUCAGUGAGAUACCACUCUUGUAAUGUUAGAUUUCUAACUUUGAACCAUAAUCUGGUCAAAGAACAGUUUCAGGUGGGCAGUUUGACUGGGGCGGUCGCCUCCCAAAUGGUAACGGAGGCGUACAAAGGUUUCCUCUGAACGGAUAGAAAUCGUAUCUAGAGUAUAAAGGCAUAAGGAAGCUUGACUGUGAGACCUACAAGUCGAGCAGGGACGAAAGUCGGUCUUAGUGAUCUGACGGUACUGAGUGGAAAGGCCGUCACUCAACGGAUAAAAGUUACUCUAAGGAUAACAGGCUGAUCUCCCCCAAGAGUUCACAUCGACGGGGAGGUUUGGCACCUCGAUGUCGGCUCAUCGCAUCCUGGGGCGGUAGUACGUCCCAAGGGUUGGGCUGUUCGCCCAUGAAAGCGGUACGCGAGCUGGGUUCAGAACGUCGUGAGACAGUUCGGUCCAUGUCCGGUGUAGGCGCUAGAAUAUUGAGAGGAGCCUUCUUUAGUACGAGAGGACCGAGAAGGACACACCGCUGGUGUACCAGUUAUCGUGCCAACGGUAAACGCUGGGUAGCUAUGUGUGGAGUGGAUAACCGCUGAAAGCAUCUAAGUGGGAAGCCCACCUCGAGAUGAGUAUUCUCU